UAGUUGGCCGGGCCGAGACCCAGCCGGACCUUGGUGUGGUCCAGCGGACGCCACCGGGGCAGCGGCCCCGGCUCGGUCGCCGGACCGGCCACC
rnacentral:tRNA from 1 species